rnacentral:rRNA from 1 species
GAUGAACGCUAGCUACAGGCUUAACACAUGCAAGUCGAGGGGAAACGACAUCGAAAGCUUGCUUUUGAUGGGCGUCGACCGGCGCACGGGUGAGUAACGCGUAUCCAACCUGCCCAUCACUUGGGAAUAACCUUGCGAAAGUAAGACUAAUGCCCAAUGAUAUCCCACGAAGGCAUCCGAAUGGGACUAAAGAUUUAUCGGUGAUGGAUGGGGAUGCGUCUGAUUAGCUUGUUGGCGGGGUAACGGCCCACCAAGGCGACGAUCAGUAGGGGUUCUGAGAGGAAGGUCCCCCACAUUGGAACUGAGACACGGUCCAAACUCCUACGGGAGGCAGCAGUGAGGAAUAUUGGUCAAUGGGCGAGAGCCUGAACCAGCCAAGUAGCGUGCAGGAUGACGGCCCUAUGGGUUGUAAACUGCUUUUAUAAGGGAAUAAAGUGAGUCUCGUGAGACUUUUUGCAUGUACCUUAUGAAUAAGGGCCGGCUAAUUCCGUGCCAGCAGCCGCCGUAA